UGCAUAUAUGUCUGUGCACCACGUGCGUGCC
rnacentral:piRNA from 2 species